ensembl:rRNA 5S_rRNA 5S ribosomal RNA
GCUUACGGCCACACCGCCCUGAGCGCGCCCCGAUCCCGUCUGAUCUCGGAAGCUAAGCAAGGUUGGGUCUGGUUAGUACUUGGAUGGAAGACCGCCUGGGAAUACCAGAUGCUGUAAGUU